rnacentral:lncRNA from 1 species
AAUUGUUCUUCAGGAGCCGACUGGAAAAGAUCUCCUUCACAUAAUUACAGGAUUUCAUGAAUAAUUUUAAGGGAUGUGUUGAGAGGCGAGGUGACAAAUUGCGUGUCUCUUCAAUUGGCUGUGAAAAAUUCAAAGCAGGGGGAACUGUGUGUGAGUGAGACGGAGGUAUCGGAGGUGGCACUUUCCUCCUUUUGGGCAGCCUUCAACAUUGUGCCUGAGGUGUUUAUGAUCAGCAAACCGCGCCUUAAAUUUCCUCACAAACUCGGCAGUGCAGAAGAUGAUGACUGUGGCCCUGUGUGUCAGGGGACAGUAGAAACCCACACGAGCAGAAGGCAAGCACACAGGCCAUCGGAUUGGAACUUCUCCACCUGUCAAGAGAGGUAAGUCUUCCAUUUAUGAGCCAAUUGAAAUUCCACUCACAAGCGAUUGUCAAUGACACGAGGAGUCAGAACAACCUUGCAACCCCCACACUAAUAAUGCUGUAAUGGUCAGAGAUAGAUCAAGCUGAGCACUGAUGGUUAGAGUGGAUCUUUGGUUGCCCAUGAGUGUUUACAGCACACUCUUUUUGCCUUCAUUUGUUUCAAGUAGAUGCAUGCCUGGAUAAACCUGCGGUCGAUUGUAAUAGUUUUUACUCCGCCGGCAGAGUGACAAAUGGCCUGCAGUUUUUGUUGUUUGUUCAAGGAGCAUCUGCCUGUACAUAAUGUAUGACAUAGGUUAUGGUAAAUACCCAGCAGAGGAAAUGGUCUUUUUUUUUAUUAGUAUGCACACUCUGGCUCUAACCUCUAACCCCGUGUGCAGCACCAAAUGACAUAGGAGGUUCAUUACCACCACAUGAGUGGGAGAAAUCAAUUCUUGAAAUGUGUCUUCCAGACAUGCUACUCACUGCUCCUUUCACAUGAGCAUUUCUGAAUCAAUAAACGUGCGAGAAGGAGGCGAAUAAUGAGACUAAAAGAGGCCCAAGGAGCCAAUUUGAGCAUCGCCGUCAUUGUCAGGGAGACCAGUAAGUGGCAGUAGAGAGCCUCAAAUAAAAACAGAACAGCCUGGUUUCACAAUUAUUGAUUGAGCACAGAUGGAAGAUCAUCUUACCUCAGACUGUCAACAUCAGCUUUUAGACCGUAUAGAAGAAAAGGCCGGAAGUACAGGACAACGUAAAACACAAUCAUCUGUCUUUAGGUGGC